CCUACGGGUGGCAGCAGUGAGGAAUAUUGGUCAAUGGCCGGAAGUCUGAACCAGCCACGCCGCGUGAGGGAUGAAGGUACUCCGUAUUUUAAACCUCUUUUGUCAGGGAACAAAGUCUGGCACUAGUCCCCGAAUGAGGGUACCUUAAGAAAAAGCAUCGGCUAACUCUGUGCCAGCAGCCGCGGUAAUACGUAGGAUGCGAUGGUUAUCCGGAUUUCUUGGGUUUAAUGGGGGCUUAGGUGGACUGUUAAGUCAGCGGGAAAAGCCCGGGGCUCAACCCCGGAGGGCCGUUGAAACUGGCGGGCUGGAGUGGGAGAGAGGUACGCGGAAUGCGCGGUGUAGCGGUGAAAUGCGUAGAUAUCGCGCAGAACACCGAUUGCGAAGGCAGAGUACCGGCU
rnacentral:rRNA from 1 species